UACGAAGGGGGCUAGCGUUGUUCGGAAUCACUGGGCGUAAAGCGCACGCAGGCGGAUCGAUAAGUCGGGGGUGAAAGCCCGGGGCUCAACCUCGGAAUUGCCUUCGAUACUGUCGGUCUCGAGUCCGGGAGAGGUGAGUGGAAUUCCUAGUGUAGAGGUGAAAUUCGUAGAUAUUAGGAAGAACACCAGUGGCGAAGGCGGCUCACUGGCCCGGUAAUGACCAUCAGGUGCGAAAGCGUGGGGAGCAAACAGG
rnacentral:rRNA from 1 species